GGGGAUAUAGCUCAGCUGGGAGAGCGUCCCGUUUGCAACGGGAAGGUCGGGGGUUCAAAUCCCCCUAUCUCCA
rnacentral:tRNA from 3 species